ACGAGUUUGAUCAUGGCUCAGAACGACGCUGGCGGCAUGCCUAACACAUGCAAGUCGAACGAGACCUUCGGGUCUAGUGGCGCACGGGUGCGUAACACGUGGGAAUUUGCCUCGGGGUAUGGAAUAACUCAGGGAAACUUGAGCUAAUACCAUAUAAUGUCUUCGGACCAAAGAUUUAUCGCCCUGAGAUAAGCCCGCGUAGGAUUAGCUAGUUGGUGGGGUAAAGGCUCACCAAGGCGACGAUCCUUAGCUGGUCUGAGAGGAUGAUCAGCCACACUGGGACUGAGACACGGCCCAGACUCCUACGGGAGGCAGCAGUGGGGAAUAUUGGACAAUGGGCGAAAGCCUGAUCCAGCAAUGCCGCGUGAGUGAUGAAGGCCUUCGGGUUGUAAAGCUCUUUUACUCGGGACGAUAAUGACGGUACCGAGAGAAUAAGCCCCGGCUAACUCCGUG
rnacentral:rRNA from 1 species